rnacentral:rRNA from 1 species
CAGUCGCCGCGGUAAUACGGAGGGGGCUAGCGUUGUUCGGAAUUACUGGGCGUAAAGCGUACGUAGGCGGCUUUGUAAGUUAGAGGUGAAAGCCUGGUGCUCAACACCAGAACUGCCUUUAAGACUGCAUCGCUUGAACGUCGGAGAGGUGAGUGGAAUUCCGAGUGUAGAGGUGAAAUUCGUAGAUAUUCGGAAGAACACCAGUGGCGAAGGCGGCUCACUGGACGACUGUUGACGCUGAGGUACGAAAGCGUGGGGAGCAAACAGGAUUAGAUACCCCCGUAGUCCCUGUCUCUUAUAC